GUCAAAUAAAUGGAAGUUCUUGGUCCAAUGAAGCUAUUAGCAAACAUCGCUCUGCUCUCUUGGAGGUGUCUUGGACAAGCAGGAUAAUUAUGGACCUGGCUUCUGAAGUCAUACUUCGUGGAUCUGAGUUGGUUCUGUCAUUGGGUAAGUGGAUUGAACUAGAAAAGAUCAUCCUGAGUGAGGUGACCCAGACCCAGAAAGACAAACAUGGAUGUGAAGGAAUAAAGAGGGAGCCAAAAUUGAGGGAAUGGCCUACCAAUGACCUGCCCAACUGGAGACCCAUGCCAUGGACAAAAGCUAACCCCUGACACUAUCAUUGAUACUCUGCUAGACUUGCAGACAUGAUUCUAACAUAACUGUCCUCUGAGAGACUUCAUCCAGCAUUGAUGGAAACACAUGCAAAGAUCUACAGCCAAACAUUAGGUAGAACUUGAGGAAUCUUGUGGAAGAGAGGGAGGAAGGACUGAAAGACCCAGAGAGGUCAAGGAUACCACAAGAAAACCUACAAAAUAAUCCCAGCACCUGAACCAUCAACCAGAAAGCAUGAAUGGGAUGGACUUAGACCCUCUACACAUAUUUGACAGAUGUGCAGCUUGGUCUUCAUGUAGAAUCCCUAACUGCAGGAGCAGGGGCUGUCCCUGACUCUGAUGCCUGCCUUUGGAUCCUUUUUCCUAACUGGGCUGCCUUGAGUAGCCUCAACAGAAGAUGCACCCAGUCCUGUUGUAAUUUAGUAAGCCUAGGUAGGUUGAUAUCCAAGGAAGGCCUCCUCUUUGAGGAGAAAGGGACAGGAGUAUGGGGGAGGAGAGGGAAGAGGGAGGGACAGGGAGAAAUAGAGGGAGGGGAAGCUGAGAAUGGGAUGUAAAGGAAUCAAUUAUAUAAUAAUGCAAAGUAAGUAAUUAAUGAAAAAUUAAAUUCAUUAAAAAUAAAAUGAAACAAAGUUUGGUUUCCCGUA
rnacentral:lncRNA from 1 species